rnacentral:tRNA from 1 species
GCCCUAAUAGCUUAACCCAAAGCAUCGGUCUUGUAAUCCGAAGAUUGGAGACAAAUCCCUCCUUAGCGCC